ACCUGGAUGAAUCAUUGAGGUUCAGGUUUUGACAAAGGAGCUACUAUCAUGGAGAUCACAUAAACUCUCUGUUUUCUUCUGUCCCUCUGACCUGCAGAUCUCCCUCAACAACACAGUUGUCAAGUGGAGGAUGUUCUGGCUGACCAGCAGCUCUGUAACCAGAAGAAGAACUCUAUUCUGGACCAGGAGGAACCAGAACCUCCACAGGUUAAAGUGGAACAGCAGGAGGUCUGCACCAAUCAUGAAGGAGAGCAGCAUGUACUGAAAGAGGAGACUGAUCCCUCUUUAGUAACUGCUACUUAUAAUGGACCAGAACCAAACUAUGACAUGGUUCUCUCUUACAAAGCUACUCAAGCUCUCACGCAACAACACAAUUGUAAGGAGGAAGAGCUGAUUCUAGCUGAUCAGCAGCUCUGUAAUCAGGAGAGGAACUGCAACUGCAGCCUGGACUGGGAGGAACCAGAACCCCCACAGGUUAAAGAGGAACGGCAAGUUCUGUACAGCAGUGAUGAGGGAGAUCAGCAAGGACUGAAUGAGGAGACUGAGCCCUCUAUAGUAACUGCUGCUUAUGAAAGUGACAAUAUUGAAGCAGAACUAAGCUGUGGUGUGGUUCUCUCUCACAACUCUCCUCCAGCAAAAGAAUCUCUAAAAUGUAAACCUUGUGGAAAAUCCUUUUCAUGUCAGUGGAAGCUUAAGAGACAUAAAAGAAUUCACACAGGUAUCCCUGUUUGGAAUUACCAGUUUGGAAAGAUGGGUAAGAGAAUAUGCGGAUUGUGUUUUCGGAGAUACACCAACUUAAGUCAACACCUUAAAGUGUCCCACACUGUGCCUAAUCAAGAUGAGUUCAGACUUCUCUUGCAAUAUGGGAGUGCUCGAACCCCCGAGAAACUGGACUGCCAAAUAUGUGGCAAGAACAAGCUUACCCGCCUCGAUAAGCACUUACAGGAGUCACAUAAACUAUCAGCAGAUGUAAGUAUAUUAAGUUAGUUUUGAUUUAUCAAAAACAUGUGUAAGAUCUGUAGUAAAUCCAGUGUUUGUAC
rnacentral:lncRNA from 1 species